UGUUGUUGUUGAAUAUCAUGAUAACGAUGUUACUUGCAAUACAUAAACAGAUAUUGAAGUGUACUCACUUCUGCAUUUCUGCUGCUUUCAGUAUUCUGCUAAAAUACAA